rnacentral:sRNA from 1 species
CAAAACCCUCAUUUCGAGCCUAAUGGGCUAAUAUCUUACACUUUAAAAAUAAAGUGAAAAGCCAGGAUAAUGUCACCAAGAGAUUUGACUGAAUUCCGCCUGAUGGUCCUGAGGUUCCUGCAGUUGAUUUUUCUGACUCCUCUGUUCUCUGAUGACCAGAGUUGAGAAGUUCUUACCCUGCCUGUCUGUGGGACUCACUUGAGGAGCCUCUAAAAAUCCUGAUGUCCAGAUUCUGGUCCAGCAAAACCCAGUUCUGGGGGUAGGGCCUGGGCAUCAGCAUUUUUUAUCUAUAGCUAUGUAAAGAAAGGGUUCCUCCAUAUUCUCACCUCACUUCCCAGAGUGGCUUCGUGCUCCUCAGCGGUUCUCUUCUGGCUUAUUCCUUCUCCAGAGCACCUGUUCCUUCAGGCCUUCUGGCAGACCAUGAAUCGCGAGUGGACGGGCAUUGACAGGCUGCGCCUGGAUAAAUUCUACAUGCUCAUGCGGAUGGUCCUGAACGAGUCCUUGAAGGUUCUGAAGAUGCGAGGCUGGGAAGAAAGACAGAUCGAGGAGCUGCUAGAGCUGCUGAUGACUGAGAUCCUGCACCCCAGCAGCCAGGCCCCCAACGGGGUGAAGAGCCACUUCAUCGAGAUCUUCCUGGAGGAGCUGGCCAAAGUGGGCGCCGAGGAGGUGAGGCUGGUCUCCGACGGGGCGGUGGAGCUGGGCGUUUGUGGAGGAGGAACUGAGCUCCCACUGGCUUUCCUCGUAGCUUACGGCAGACCAGAACCUAAAGUUCAUCGACCCCUUCUGCAGAAUCGCUGCCCGGACCAAGGAUUCCUUGGUUUUGAACAACAUCACUCGAGGCAUCUUUGAGACGAUUGUGGAGCAGGCCCCGCUUGCCAUUGAAGACCUGCUGAAUGAACUGGACACACAGGAUGAGGAGGUGGCGUCGGACAGUGAUGAGUCCUCUGAGGGCGGUGAGCGUGGAGAUGCGCUGUCCCAGAAGAGGUCUGAGAAGCCGCCCGCAGGCUCCAUCUGCAGGGCUGAACCUGAGGCUGGUGAGGAGCAGGCAGGUGACGACAGGGACAGUGGCGGCCCCGUCCUCCAGUUUGACUACGAGGCAGUUGCUAACAGACUGUUUGAAAUGGCCAGCCGCCAGAGCACCCCUUCUCAGAACAGAAAGCGUCUCUACAAAGUGAUCCGGAAGCUGCAGGACCUGGCAGGAGGCAUUUUCCCUGAAGAUGAGAUCCCAGAGAAGGCCUGCAGGCGUCUGCUUGAAGGGAGGCGGCAGAAGAAGACGAAGAAGCAGAAGCGUCUGCUCAGGUUGCAGCAGGAGAGAGGGAAAGGUGAGAAGGAGCCCCCGAGCCCGGGCAUGGAGAGGAAGAGGAGCAGGAGGAGGGGUGUAGGGGCCGACCCCGAGGCGCGGGCAGAGGCUGGUGAGCAGCCAGGCACAGCUGAGCGGGCCCUGCUCCGAGAUCAGCCCAGGGGCCGUGGCCAGAGAGGGGCUCGCCAGAGAAGGAGGACACCUCGGCCCCUGACCAGUGCCCGAGCAAAGGCGGCCAAUGUCCAGGAGCCGGAGAAGAAGAAGAAACGCAGGGAGUGACGUGGCCGGGCCCAGGACAGGCAGGGAGGGAGGCCAGGCCUCGCUUGCACCGAGGGACGAGGCCGACCGGGCUGUUCUGUAGACUCAGGACCGUGGCUCCAGAACUCCUGUGCCAGGCGGGAGGGAAGGGCGGCACUGGAGAGAGGGGCCCGUCAUUAGGGGCCGGCAUCCCAGGAACCGGACCUCUCCCCAGAGCCUCCGCCUGUGGCUGUGAUGACCUUGGGCCAGAAGGUCAAACUCCGCAGACUGAAACUCCGCCUGCAGCAGGACUGGCCGCCCCCGCUGUGGGGGGUGCAGAAAAUAAAAUGCCGCGCAGCCCUUGCCAGGGAAGUGUCGCUUCGGGUGUGUCCUACGGACGUGUGGGAGGUGGCAGGCGCCAGCCUCCGAGCAGUGUGGUGGUUUAUAUUCAUGUUUGUGGAAAAAUCUUGCAAGACAUUUCUCCUUUCACAGAGCCGCCCAGGUGUUAACAGGGCUGUCUGGACGGGGCUCUUUUGCUUCCCCCUCAAUCUGGGGUCUAGAGUUGUGCAGGGAAUUCAGCUCCAGUAAGGCCCGGAUUGCCCGGGGUGAGCGUGUGUGUGGUGGGAAGACCUGGCUUCCGCGAGAGCCUUGUUCCUGGAGGCAGGAACGCCCCGCCAUCCUGGGUACCCGCGGGUCCGCAGGCUGCGCACCUCCUUCCCUCAGCCAGGUCACCCUCAGCGUCCUCCCUGCCCCUCUCCCCUUCACACCUGCUGGAGCCUGUGAGGGAGGUGGCGGGGCCCCACUGUGGCGACGGAGACCUGACAGUAGCCCAGGGCUUUCCACCUGCAUGGAACAAGGGCCUGUCUGCCGCCAGCGCUGUGGCCACAGCCUGCAUAGGUGACAAGGGGCCGCUGCGUUGGGUUUUGCCCGCAUCUUCUGUUCCAUGGGUGCCCAGCCAGCCAGGCCGUGUGGGAUCCAGCGAGAGGCCAGGGCUUGGAGUGGGCCUGGGACCAGGAAGGACCUCUAGGCUGUGGCUGGCCUUGUGCAGACCCUGGACUGCAUCCGGUUCCCCAAAGCCCUGCUGCAUUCGAGUGUCCCCCAACCCCGGGCAGGUGGCACCUGGUGACACCUCCUUCAGUCCCACUCAGCUGGGCGGCUGGGGCAGGCUUAGGGCACAGUUAGGGGCCAAGGAGAGGGAAGGCCAGGGCCCCUGUUCUAGGGGUUAGGGUUCUUUCCCCAAAGGAACUUAAAAAGACAAGCGUGGCCAGGCACAGUGGCUCACACCUGUAAUCCCAGCACUUUGGGAGGCCGAGGUGGCCGGAUCACCUGAGGUCAGGAGUUUGAGACCAGACUGACCAACAUGGAGAAACCCCAUCUCUACUAAAAUACAAAAUUAGCCAGGCAUGGUGGCACAUGCCUGUAAUCCCAGCUACUUGGGAGGCUAAGGCAGGAGAAUUGCUUGAACCUGGGAGGCAGAGGUUGUGGUGAGCUAAGAUCGCGCCAUUGCACUCUAGCCUGGGCAACGAGAGGGAAACUCUGUUUCAAAAAAAAAAAAAAAAAAA